rnacentral:rRNA from 1 species
GAUCAUUAUUGAAUGUUUGAAGUAGUUGAGCUGGUCUUAACAGACAAGUGCUUGCUGCUUCUAUUCAUCAUAUCCACCUGUGCACUUUCUGUAGAGCUUUGAUGAACGUCUUAGGUUAGCUCCUAGGACCAGUAAUCAGGUUCUAUGUAUCUUAUAAACUCUAUGAAUGUCUUGAAUGUCUUUUAUUGGGACUUAAUUGACCCUUUAAACUUUAUACAACUUUCAGCAACGGAUCUCUUGGCUCUCGCAUCGAUGAAGAACGCAGCGAAAUGCGAUAAGUAAUGUGAAUUGCAGAAUUCAGUGAAUCAUCGAAUCUUUGAACGCACCUUGCGCCUCUUGGUAUUCCGAGAGGCAUGCCUGUUUGAGUGUCAUUAAAUUCUCAACUUCAAAAGGUUUUGUCUUUUUGAAGCUUGGAUGUGAAGGCUGCUGGCGUCUCAGAUGUUCAGCUCCUUUGAAAUGCAUUAGUGGACCCAUUUGUGUUCAUCCUUAGUGUGAUAAUUAUCUACGCUAUGGCUUUGAAUACAUGCUCCUUAGAACUUUCGAGCUGUCUUACAGUCUCGGUGUGGAGAGUUGCAUUAAUUUGCUCUUUCUGUCUAUUGAGUGGGUUUGUCUGCUUCAAACCGUCUGCAGAUGUAGACAAUCUUGAACCAUUUGACCUCAAAUCAGGUAGGACUACCCGCUGAACUUAAGCAUAUCAAUAAGCGGAGGAAAAGAAACUAACAAGGAUUCCCCUAGUAACUGCGAGUGAAGAGGGAAAAGCUCAAAUUUAAAAUCUGGCAGUCUUAGAUUGUCCGAGUUGUAAUUUAGAGAAGUGUUACCCGCGUUGGACCGUGUAUAAGUCUCCUGGAAUGGAGCGUCAUAGAGGGUGAGAAUCCCGUCUUUGACACGGACUACCAAGGCUUUGUGGUGCGCUCUCAAAGAGUCGUGUUGUUUGGGAAUGCAGCACUAAAUGGGUGGUAAACUCCAUCUAAAGCUAAAUAUUGGCGAGAGACCGAUAGCGAACAAGUACCGUGAGGGAAAGAUGAAAAGAACUUUGGAAAGAGAGUUAAACAGUACGUGAAAUUGCUGAAAGGGAAACGCUUGAAGUCAGUCGCGUUGGCUAGGGAUCAACCUUGCUUUUGUGGGGUGUACUUCCUAAUCAACGGGUCAACAUCAGUUUUGACCAUUGGAAAAAGGCUAGUUGAAUGUGGCAUCUCCGGAUGUGUUAUAGCUUCUAGUCAUAUACAGUGGUUGGGACUGAGGAACUCAGCACGCCGCAAGGCCCCGGGUUUAA